rnacentral:rRNA from 1 species
AGUGAACGCUGGCGGUAGGCCUAACACAUGCAAGUCGAACGGCCGCACAGUAAGAGCUUGCUCUUACGGGUGGCGAGUGGCGGACGGGUGAGGCAUACAUCGGAAUCUACUUUUUCGUGGGGGAUAACGUAGGGAAACUUACGCUAAUACCGCAUACGACCUACGGGUUAAAGCAGGGGAUCUUCGCACCUUGCGCGAUUGAAUGAGCCGAUGUCGGAUUAGCUAGUUGGCGGGGUAAAGGCCCACCAAGGCGACGAUCCGUAGCUGGUCUGAGAGGAUGAUCAGCCACACUGGAACUGAGACACGGUCCAGACUCCUACGGGAGGCAGCAGUAGGGAAUAUUGGACAAUGGGCGAAAGCCUGAUCCAGCAAUACCGCGUGGGUGAAGAAGGCCUUCGGGUUGUAAAGCCCUGUUGUUGGGAAAGAAAAGCAGCAGGUGAAUACCCCGCUGUUCUGACGGUACCCAAAGAAUAAGCACCGGCUAACUUCGUG